GCCGGGCGCAGUGGCGGGCGCCUGUAGUCCCAGCUACUCGGGAGGCUGAGGCAGGAGAAUGGCGUGAACCCGGGAGGCGGAGCUUGCAGUGAGCUGAGAUCCGGCCACUGCACUCCAGCCUGGGCGGCAGAGCAAGACUCCGUCAAAAAAAAAAAAAAAAGAAUUAAGUUUGGCAAUUUUUUUUUUUUCUGAGACGGAGUUUCACCCAGCUGCCCAGGCUGGAGUGCAGUUGUGUGAUCUCAGCUCAUUGCAACCUCUGCCUCCUGGGUUCAAGCAAUUUUCCUGCCUUAG
rnacentral:SRP_RNA from 1 species